AAUAAGCGGAGGAAAAGAAACUAACAAGGAUUCCCUAGUAACGGCGAGUGAAGCGGGAUGAGCUCAAGCUUAAAAUCUCUGUCCAAAUUUAUUUUGUGCGGCGAAUUGUAGUCUAUAGAGGCGUGAUCAGUGUAGGUACUUGAGAUAAGUUUCUUGAAAAAGAACAGCACGGAGGGUGAAACUCCCGUUCAUACUUAAGUGGCUUGCACGUACGAUCCGUUUUCUUUGAGUCGCGUUGUUUGAGAAUGCAGCGCAAAGUAGGUGGUAAAUUCCAUCUAAAGCUAAAUAUUGGUGCGAGACCGAUAGCGAACAAGUACCGUGAGGGAAAGAUGAAAAGAACUCUGAAAAGAGAGUUAAAGAGUACCUGAAACUGCUGAAAGGGAACCGAAUCGUUUCUAGUGUCUAUAAUCUAUGACAUAUUUCAUUGGGAAGUAUGUGCGUGUGUAUACUAUGGCAGCGGCUUUUUUUGAGCUGCGCUUGGUGUGCGUGCUGUAUGUGCUAACUGGUGCCCUGUGUUAUAGUGGGACGUCAAGGUCAGUUUGUAUGCUGCGGGAAAUGGCUACUAGGGAGGUAGGGCUUACGCUUGCGUUUGUCUAUUAUAUCUUGGUAGUUGUGUCGUCGUGGUUGAGACUGAGGUGUUCUACAACGUGCUUUUGAGUGGGUCUGUGUCUCCGUGUGCGCCGUGUGCAGAUAGCUUGCUAUGUGUGUGUGGUGGUGUGUGGAUUGAUGUGGGCUUUAACUUGUCGCCGUUCGGGACUUUGGCGAAAUAGAGCGAUUUGACCCGUCUUGAAACACGGACCAAGGAGUCUAACAUAUGUGCAAGUGUUAGGGUGUGGAAACCCCAGCGCGAAAUGAAAGUAAAGGAUGCUGAAAAGUAUCUGAGGUAGGAAAUGUUAUGAACUUUCGGUUUUAUGGCGUGGCACUAUCGACCGAUCAUGAACCUUCGUGGUGAAAGAUUUGAGUUUGAGCACAUAUGUUGGUACCCGAAAGAUGGUGAACUAUGCCUGAGUAGGGUGAAGCCAGGGGAAACUCUGGUGGAAGCUCGUAGCGAUUCUGACGUGCAAAUCGAUCGUCGAACUUGGGUAUAGGGGCGAAAGACUAAUCGAACCAUCUAGUAGCUGGUUCCC
rnacentral:rRNA from 1 species